UGUGCCGCAAGGCGGACUUAUGCUGUAACCCACAGCGUAGCCCAUAGAACGGGCAUUAGACUACUAUUAUAGGAGAAAAAAAUG
rnacentral:ncRNA from 1 species